rnacentral:rRNA from 1 species
UACGUAGGGUGCGCGCGUUAAUCGGAAUUACUGGGCGUAAAGCGUGCGCAGGCGGCGCCGCAAGUCCGGCGUGAAAUCCCCGAGCUUAACUUGGGAAUGGCGCUUGAAACUACGGUGCUGGAGUGUGGCAGAGGGAGGUGGAAUUCCACGUGUAGCGGUGAAAUGCGUAGAUAUCGGAAGGAACAUCAGUGGCGAAAGCGACUUCCUGGACCAAUACUGACGCUCAUGUGCGAAAGCGUGGGGAGCAAACAGG